rnacentral:rRNA from 1 species
UACGUAGGUGGCGAGCGUUGUCCGGAUUUACUGGGCGUAAAGAGCGCGCAGGCGGCUGGUCAAGUCCGAUGUGAAAGCUCCCGGCUUAACUGGGAAAUUGCAUCGGAAACUGAUCGGCUGGAAGGUGGGAGAGGGUAGCGGAAUUCCCGGUGUAGUGGUGAAAUGCGUAGAUAUCCGGAGGAACACCAGUGGCGAAAGCGGCCACCUGGACUGCACCUGACGCUGACACGCGAAAGCUAGGGGAGCGAACGGG